rnacentral:rRNA from 1 species
AUUGAACGCUGGCGGCAGGCCUAACACAUGCAAGUCGAGCGAGCCGCGCACGGGUGAGUAAUGUAUGGGGAUCCGCCCGAUAGAGGGGGAUAUCCACUGGAAAGGGGGGCAUAUCCCGCAAAAUAUCGGAAGACCACAUAUGGGUUUAUCUAGUAGGUGGGAGAAAGGCUCACCUAGGAGACGAUCUCUAGCUGGUCUGAGAGGAUGAUAAGCCACACUGGGACUGAGACACGGCCCAGACUCCGACGGGAGGCAGCAGGGGGGAAUAUUGCACAAUGGGCGCAAGCCUGAUGCAGCCAUGCCGCGUGUAUGAAGAAGGCCUUAGGGUUGUAAAGUACUUUCAGCGGGGAGGCGUUACCCGCAGAAGAAGCACCGGCUAACUCCGUGCCAGCAGCCGCGGUAAUAC